CCGCAUUUUCUUUAUUUGUUCACCCACUGGUAGAUGCUUAGGUUGCUUCCGUAUCUUGGCUACUGUGAAUGAAAUCAAUAUUCUUAUCACCCGCGUAUUUGCAGAAUUGAUCUCCAGUCAUUUGUUAUCUUUGGACUUUGCUUGUGUAUUUUGUUCAAACGUUAUGUUGUCAAGCUGAUCAAUCAUUUCCUUGAUGGCUUCUGGGUUUAUUUUGUGGUUUAGAAAGGCUUCCCCACUUCGAAAAGACAGAAUAAAAGCGAUUCACCCACGUUCUCCCUUUCACAGUUUCAACUUCAGGGUCUCUCCCGCCUCAAAACUUUCGAAUACGCUGGGAGCCCGGGACCCCGCUGCGCUGGGAAGAUGAGGCAGGGCGCCGGUCCCGGGGGGUCUCCGGAAACGUUCCCGGUUCGCGGAGAAGAUCGCCCUUCCCGGAGCCGCGUGGGCGGUCUGUCCUAGCCGGUAGCAGUCUCUCGGAGCCGAACGGUGGUUAGGAAAAAUUUUCAAGUCCCCUUGGGCUGAGGGGUCGCACCAUUCUAGGCCGUGCCAACUGAGAGCUCCUCUGUCCGCCCCCGGCUGAGAAACGCGAUACCAGGUAGCCCGGGACUUGGAGAGGCCUCUACCGCCAGCUAUGCCGAUCCGAUCCGCAGCUGCUCGCACCGGCUGUCGGGCGCCACCUGGCUGCACUGUUUAGGUUUUCUCUCCUGCGCUCUGGAGAAGCCGGCAAGAAAGGGGAUUUGGCCACAGAGUGCGGUUCAAGCGACUGGCAGCACUGGCAGGAUGAGCCCAGCUUUGCCCGGUGUACUCUUCGUCCUUUCGUCGGAGAUUAAACCUGCAGGUCAGCGUUGGAGGCGCGCUCUUAAACUCGGAGUGCUGUGGCCUGAGCUGAUCAACUAGUGCACGCAGGAAUCGAUGGGCCUUCCCAAAGUAUGAAUGGGGGAUGGGGUACCCCGCCCGGACGCCGACUGGUUUGGGGCCUUGUCCUCAGGCCUUCCAUUACACCCAUUAUCUCUGAGCCCCGCCCCGGAGCAGGUUUCUCAAGAAACUCUCCCUUGCUAUGGACACUGCUGACUUCUGUAAAAUACGUUUACAGGAGGCCAUUGGUUUGGACUGAGCUUCUGCACUAGGCCCAACAGGCUGAGAUGGGGCAGGGACCCCUAUUAGAGGCCUGCUGGGCCUCCUCCAAGUGUGGAAACAAAAGAAAAUCUUGAUUUCCUUCAAGGGAAAUUCCAGGCACCUAGCUGGCCUUGAGAAGUAGAUGAGCCACCUGAUAAGCAAGAAGGGAAUCAUAGCUUCAAGUAAUAACCACUCAAGUAAGUCAGAGCCACAAGGUGUUUGGUCCCCUAUUGAAACUAAAGAUCACAUCUUAGCAUAUGUCCCUAAAUUGUUUUUCGGCAGACCCACCUCAGAUGGAAAAUACUGACCAUCAUCACAGAGACCUCAGAUGACAGGGGAGCUGAGGGCUGCACUCUGACGGCUGCUCUUUGUUCUAAAUUUCUUUCUCAUGGGCCUGGAGAGAGUCAUGCCCAUAAGCCAGACCUUAACAUUGCUUUCUGCUGACCCCAAGUUUUUAGAGAAAGCCUGGCUUCCUUAACCAAUUGCAAUCAAAGAAUCCUGAAGCCGCCUAUGACCUGCAAGCCCCUUGCUUCAAGAGCUUCCACCUUUUUGGGCCAAACCAAGGUAUACCCUCUGUAUUGAUUUAUGGUUUCCCUAUAACUUCUGCUUUCCUGAAAUGUUCCCCUGCCUUUAAAAUCCCUUGCUUGUAAACCAUCCAGGAGAUUGGGUCUGAAGCGUAAGCUGCCCCAUUUUCCUUGCUUGGUGUCCUGCAAGUUAACACCUUCCUUUCUCCUGCUG
rnacentral:lncRNA from 1 species